GGUAUUUUGACCGUGCAAAGGUAGCAUAAUAAUUAGUUUUUUAAUUGGAAGCUGGAAUGAAUGGUUGGACGAGAAAACAGCUGUCUCUUUAUUAAUAGAGUUGAAUUUAACCUUUUAGUUAAAAGGCUAAAAUGGUAUUAAAAGACGAGAAGACCCUUUAGAGUUUUAUUAACAUAAGUUAUAUUGAAUUAGGAAUUUUUUUUGUGUUUUAUGUUAAUUUAGUUGGGGUGACUUUAAGAUAAAAAUAACUCUUUUAAAUUUAAUCAUUGAUUUCUGAAUUUAUAAUCUAAAUUUUUUAAAUUUAAAAUAAAUUACCUAAGG
rnacentral:rRNA from 1 species